rnacentral:piRNA from 1 species
UUUGGUAUGUAAUAUACACGG